CUACGGGGGGCUCCAGUGGGGAAUAUUGCACAAUGGACGAAAGUCUGAUGCAGCAACGCCGCGUGGAGGAUGACACAUUUCGGUGCGUAAACUCCUUUUAUAUAGGAAGAUGAUGACGGUACUAUAUGAAUAAGCGCCGGCUAACUCCGUGCCAGCAGCCGCGGUAAUACGGAGGGCGCAAGCGUUACUCGGAAUCACUGGGCGUAAAGAGCGUGUAGGCGGAUUAAUAAGUUGGGAGUGAAAUCCUAUGGCUCAACCAUAGAACUGCUUCCAAAACUGUUAAUCUAGAGUAUGGGAGAGGUAGAUGGAAUUUCUGGUGUAGGGGUAAAAUCCGUAGAGAUCAGAAGGAAUACCGAUUGCGAAGGCGAUCUACUGGAACAUUACUGACGCUGAGACGCGAAAGCGUGGGGAGCAAACAGGAUUAGAUACCCGGGUAGUC
rnacentral:rRNA from 1 species